rnacentral:rRNA from 1 species
GACGAACGCUGGCGGCGUGCUUAACACAUGCAAGUCGAGCGGUAAGGCCCUUCGGGGUACACGAGCGGCGAACGGGUGAGUAACACGUGAGUAAUCUGCCCAUCACUUCGGGAUAACUCCGGGAAACCGGUGCUAAUACCGAAUAUGACCACUUCAGGCAUCUGAUGGCGGUGGAAAGUUCCGGCGGUGAUGGAUGAGCUCGCGGCCUAUCAGCUUGUUGGUGGGGUAGUGGCCUACCAAGGCUUCGACGGGUAGCCGGCCUGAGAGGGUGACCGGCCACACUGGGACUGAGACACGGCCCAGACUCCUACGGGAGGCAGCAGUGGGGAAUAUUGGACAAUGGGCGAAAGCCUGAUCCAGCAACGCCGCGUGAGGGAUGACGGCCUUCGGGUUGUAAACCUCUUUCAGCAGGGACGAAGCGCAAGUGACGGUACCUGCAGAAGAAGCACCGGCCAACUACGUG